GGAUAUAGCUCAGUGGUAGAGUGCAUGCCUAGCAUGCACAAAGUCCUGGGUUCAAUCCCCAGUACCUCCA
rnacentral:tRNA from 1 species